GAUUCGUCACACUAUCAUUAACUGAAUCCAUAGGUUAAUGAGGCGAACCGGGGGAACUGAAACAUCUAAGUACCCCGAGGAAAAGAAAUCAACCGAGAUUCCCCCAGUAGCGGCGAGCGAACGGGGAGGAGCCCAGAGCCUGAAUCAGCAUGUGUGUUAGUGGAAGCGUCUGGAAAGGCGCGCGAUACAGGGUGACAGCCCCGUACACAAAAGCGCAUGUGCUGUGAGCUCGAUGAGUAGGGCGGGACACGUGGUAUCCUGUCUGAAUAUGGGGGGACCAUCCUCCAAGGCUAAAUACUCCUGACUGACCGAUAGUGAACCAGUACCGUGAGGGAAAGGCGAAAAGAACCCCGGCGAGGGGAGUGAAAAAGAACCUGAAACCGUGUACGUACAAGCAGUGGGAGCACAGGUUUACCUGUGUGACUGCGUACCUUUUGUAUAAUGGGUCAGCGACUUAUAUUCUGUAGCAAGGUUAACCGAAUAGGGGAGCCGGAGGGAAACCGAGUCUUAAUUGGGCGUUAAGUUGCAGGGUAUAGACCCGAAACCCGGUGAUCUAGCCAUGGGCAGGUUGAAGGUUGGGUAACACUAACUGGAGGACCGAACCGACUAAUGUUGAAAAAUUAGCGGAUGACCUGUGGCUGGGGGUGAAAGGCCAAUCAAACCGGGAGAUAGCUGGUUCUCCCCGAAAGCUAUUUAGGUAGCGCCUCGUGAAUUCAUCUCCGGGGGUAGAGCACUGUUUCGGCUAGGGGGCCAUCCCGGCUUACCAACCCGAUGCAAACUGCGAAUACCGGAGAAUGUUAUCACGGGAGACACACGGCGGGUGCUAACGUCCGUCGUGAAGAGGGAAACAACCCAGACCGCCAGCUAAGGUCCCAAAGUCAUGGUUAAGUGGGAAACGAUGUGGGAAGGCCCAGACAGCCAGGAUGUUGGCUUAGAAGCAGCCAUCAUUUAAAGAAAGCGUAAUAGCUCACUGGUCGAGUCGGCCUGCGCGGAAGAUGUAACGGGGCUAAACCAUGCACCGAAGCUGCGGCAGCGAACGUAUCACUUAAAGCGAUUCAGCGGGUUACGAUUGACGGAGCGAAGCGACGUCAAAGCGUAUACAAAGUCGAGUCGGUUUAAGGAUACGUUCGUUGGGUAGGGGAGCGUUCUGUAAGCCUGUGAAGGUGGCCUGUGAGGGUUGCUGGAGGUAUCAGAAGUGCGAAUGCUGACAUAAGUAACGAUAAAGCGGGUGAAAAGCCCGCUCGCCGGAAGACCAAGGGUUCCUGUCCAACGUUAAUCGGGGCAGGGUGAGUCGACCCCUAAGGCGAGGCCGAAAGGCGUAGUCGAUGGGAAACGGGUUAAUAUUCCCGUACUUGGUGUUACUGCGAAGGGGGGACGGAGAAGGCUAUGUUGGCCGGGCGACGGUUGUCCCGGUUUAAGCGUGUAGGUGUGUGUUCCAGGUAAAUCCGGUUCACUUUAACACUGAGGCGUGAUGACGAGGCACUACGGUGCUGAAGCAACAAAUGCCCUGCUUCCAGGAAAAGCCUCUAAGCAUCAGGUAACAUCAAAUCGUACCCCA
rnacentral:rRNA from 1 species